rnacentral:tRNA from 1 species
GGGCGCAUAGCUCAGUUGGCUAGAGCGCGUGGAUCACAACCACGAGGUCGGGGGUUCGACUCCCUCUGCGCCCACCA